rnacentral:rRNA from 1 species
CAAUAGCGUAUAUUAAAGUUGUUGCGGUUAAAAAGCUCGUAGUUGGAUUUCUGCCGAGGACGACCGGUCCGCCCUCUGGGUGAGUAUCUGGCUCGGCCUGGGCAUCUUCUUGGAGAACGUAGCUGCACUUGACUGUGUGGUGCGGUAUCCAGGACUUUUACUUUGAGGAAAUUAGAGUGUUUCAAGCAGGCUUACGCCUUGAAUACAUUAGCAUGGAAUAAUAAGAUAGGACCUCGGUUCUAUUUUGUUGGUUUCUAGAGCUGAGGUAAUGAUUAAUAGGGAUAGUUGGGGGCAUUCGUAUUUAACUGUCAGAGGUGAAAUUCUUGGAUUUGUUAAAGACGGUCUACUGCGAAAGCAUUUGCCAAGGAUGUUUUCAUUGA